CAUGGUUACAGUACUAUUUCCAUGGUGACAGCAAGAGUAACAGCAGAAGGGAGCAGAAAGUGAACUGAGCAAAGUCCUUGUGGUAGUAGAAUGGUGGACAGGGAGGGCUCAUGAGCUGAAUGGGCAUAUGCCAGGACAGCCAGCCACCAGUAAUACCACCUAUCCUUGACUGCUUGUAUCUGCAGCUGUUUUACAUCUCCAAAUUUUAUUUCUCAGUUACAGCAUUGCUCUGGGGCCAGCAGGUACCAUACUGUCAGGAUAAAUAAAUGUUCAUCUUCAAGAUAAAUGGGUAACAAAUCAGACAAUGUGGACUUCCAUAAUACAACACAGCUUAGAUUAGGACUAAAGGCCUCAAAUCCAAACGUUAGACAAGUUGUUCAGGCAAGCCAAGCACUGAUCAGUGAAGGGGAAGAGCUCCCAGAAAAAAUGUGAAAUUAGAUACUUUGGCAUACUGGUAAGCUAAUACAGCUUUCCCCAAUAAUUUUAUCCAGCAAACCAAAAAUGCAGAAGCUAUCAUCACUUAGUAUUUUUGCUAAGACAAUACUAAAAUGAUCCCUGAGAAGCAGCCACAGGUGUGUGAACGAAAAGUGGUUAACAUUAUUGAACACAUAGGUAUUAAACAAAAUCAUGCAGUCAGUACUGGAGUUCUGAAGAAUCCUGUUCAAUAUUCAUCUUCUCUAGAAUCACAGCUACUAAAUAUUAACUGCAAAUAAACCUUAUGGAACAGCCAUCCCAUUCCAUCCCAUCCCCUGUUGUGCAAUGUUACUCCCCUCCCCAAAAAAAAAACUUUCAGAGAGAAGGUAUAUUUACAACCUAGGUUCAGAACUGUAACUUAAUGCUAUAGCCCCAGACCUUUCAAAUACAGUUGGAAGAGGAUAUCUUUACAUUUGAGAUUACAUUUCUCAGACACGGAAAAUAAGAAUGUAACCCUUUGAACU